UACGGGGGGGGCAAGCGUUGUUCGGAAUUACUGGGCGUAAAGGGCUCGUAGGUGGCCAACUAAGUCAGACGUGAAAUCCCUCGGCUUAACCGGGGAACUGCGUCUGAUACUGGAUGGCUUGAGUGUGGGAGAGGGAUGCGGAAUUCCAGGUGUAGCGGUGAAAUGCGUAGAUAUCUGGAGGAACACCGGUGGUGAAGGCGGCUAUCUGGACAGAGUCUGACGCUGAGGCGCGAAAGCUAGGGGAGCAAACAGG
rnacentral:rRNA from 1 species